rnacentral:rRNA from 1 species
UGAGGAACUUGCCCAUGAGCGGGGGACAACAUUCGGAAACGGAUGCUAAUACCCCAUAGGUGGAUUGGUCGCAUGACGAAUUCAUUAAAGGUGGCUUUGCUACCACUCAUGGAUAGCCUCGCGGCGUAUUAGCUAGUUGGUAAGGCAAUGGCUUACCAAGGCAGUGAUACGUAGCCGACUUGAGAGGGUGAUCGGCCACACUGGGACUGAGACACGGCCCAG